rnacentral:tRNA from 1 species
AAAUAAGAAACAAAUUGUUGUAAUUAGUUUCGACCUAAUAUUUGAUGUUAAAUCAUCCUUAUUUA